rnacentral:rRNA from 1 species
GUGACAAACCGGAGGAAGGUGGGGACGACGUCAAGUCAUCAUGGCCCUUACGACCUGGGCUACACACGUGCUACAAUGGCCAGUACAGAGGGCUGCAAACCCGCGAGGGGGAGCCAAUCUCACAAAGCUGGUCGUAGUCCGGAUCGCAGUCUGCAACUCGACUGCGUGAAGUUGGAAUCGCUAGUAAUCGUGAAUCAGAAUGUCACGGUGAAUACGUUCCCGGGCCUUGUACACACCGCCCGUCACACCAUGGGAGUGGGUUGCAAAAGAAGUAGCUAGGCUAACCUUCGGGAGGCCGGUUACCACUUUGUGAUUCAUGACUGGGGUGAAGUCGUAACAAGGUAGCCCUAGGGGAACCUGGGGCUGGAUCACCUCCUUA